rnacentral:rRNA from 1 species
GUGCCAGCCGCCGCGGUAAUACGGAGUGUGCAAGCGUUACUCGGAAUCACUGGGCAUAAAGAGCACGUAGGCGGAGAUGCAUGUCCGUGGUGAAAUCCCCCAGCUCAACUGGGGAACUGCUUCGGAAACUGCAUCCCUUGAGGACGAGAGGGGAGAGUGGAACUUCUGGUGGAGCGGUGAAAUGCGUAGAUAUCAGAAGGAACACCGGUGGCGAAAGCGACUCUCUGGCUCGUAUCUGACGCUGAGGUGCGAAAGCUUGGGUAGCAAACAGGAUUAGAUACCCGCGUAGUCC